rnacentral:rRNA from 1 species
GACGAACGCUGGCGGCGUGCCUAAUACAUGCAAGUUGAGCGCUGAAGGUUGGUACUUGUACCAACUGGAUGAGCAGCGAACGGGUGAGUAACGCGUGGGGAAUCUGCCUUUGAGCGGGGGACAACAUUUGGAAACGAAUGCUAAUACCGCAUAAAAACUUUAAACACAAGUUUUAAGUUUGAAAGAUGCAAUUGCAUCACUCAAAGAUGAUCCCGCGUUGUAUUAGCUAGUUGGUGAGGUAAAGGCUCACCAAGGCGAUGAUACAUAGGCGACCUGAGAGGGUGAACGGGCACAUUGGGACUUGGACACGGCCCAAACCUCUACGGGAGGCAGCAGUAGGGAAUCCUCGGCAAUGGACGAAAGUCUUACCGAGCAACGCCGCGUGAGUGAAGAAGGUUUUCGGAUCGUAAAACUCUGGUGGUAGAGAAGAACGUUGGUGAGAGGGGAAAGCUCAUCAAGUGACGGUAACUACCCAGAAAGGGACGGCUAACUACGUG